GGGGAGGGGGGUAGGCAAAUCAUGCAGUCGAGCGGUCAGGCCGGAGCUUGCUCCCGGAUGUUAGCGGCGGAAGGGUGAGUAACACAUGGGUAACCUGCCUGUAAGACUGGGAUAACUCCCGGAAACCGGACCUAAAACCGGAUAUUUCCUUGAACCUGGAGGGUGAAGGAUGAUUUACGGUUUCGGCUGUCUCUUACCCAUGGACCCGCGGCGCAGGGUCUAGUUGGUGGGGUAAUGGCUCAGCAAGGCGACCAUGCAUGGCCAACCUGAAAGGGGGAUCGGCCACACUGGGACUGCUACACCGCCCAGACUCCUACGGGAGGCAUCCGUAAGGAAUCUUCCCCAGUGGACGAAAGUCUGACGGAGCAACGCCGCGUGAGUGAUGAAGGUUUUCUGAUCGUACAGCUCUGUUGUUAGGGAAGAACAAGUGUUAGAGUAACUGCUCGCAUCUUGACGGUACCUAACCAGAAAGCCACGGCUAACUACGUGCCAGCAGCCGCGCGUAAUACGUAAGUGGCAAGCGUUGUCCGCAAUUAUUGGGCGUAGACGGGCUCGCAGGCGGUUUCUUAGGUCUUGAUGUGAAACCCCCCGGCUCAUCCGGGGAGGGUCAUUGUAAGCUGGGGAAACUUGAAUGCCAGGAGGAGA
rnacentral:rRNA from 1 species